rnacentral:rRNA from 1 species
UGGGGAAUAUUGCACAAUGGGGGAAACCCUGAUGCAGCGACGCCGCGUGAGUGAAGAAGUAUUUCGGUAUGUAAAGCUCUAUCAGCAGAGAAGAAAAUGACGGUACCUGACUAAGAAGCCCCGGCUAACUACGUGCCAGCAGCCGCGGUAAUACGUAGGGGGCAAGCGUUAUCCGGAUUUACUGGGUGUAAAGGGAGCGUAGACGGCAUGACAAGCCAGAUGUGAAAACCCAGGGCUCAACCCUGGGACUGCAUUUGGAACUGCCAGGCUGGAGUGCAGGAGAGGUAAGCGGAAUUCCUAGUGUAGCGGUGAAAUGCGUAGAUAUUAGGAGGAACACCAGUGGCGAAAGGGCGGCUUUACUGGACUGUAAACUGACGUUGAGGCUCGAAAGCGUGGGGAGCAAACAGGAUUAGAUACC